ensembl:lncRNA MIR3976HG MIR3976 host gene
CUCUUUCUGAUUGAGUGUAAGCUGCUAUAUGAAGGGAUCCACAAGACGAAUAAUUAAGGGGGACCUCUGAUCAACAGCCAGCAAGGAACUGAAUCCCUCAGACCCACAACUCACAAGAAACUGAAGCUGAAGCAGAUUCUUCCUCAGUCAAGCUUCAGGACCUGCUUUGCAGAAAGGAUCUCAUUGAGAAUAGCAAAAGGAAGUUGGGAACCAUUACAGUGCCCAGCUGUAUUGGUAGAGGAGACCAACCACACCCUCCACAGCACAGCACCUGGAGAGGAACUGCUGCCAUGACCAUAGAGGACACCCUCUGGAUACAAUGCCAGACUUGAUGUGGGACUGACCAACCUAUGGACCCCAGGCACCACCACCCAGACCUGCUCAGCACCUGAAACAUUCACAGCCGUGGAGAGAGAACUGUUCACUGCUACCAUCCACACUUCUGGGCCCCUUCAGCAGCAGGGUGACAAGGAAGAGGGAAAUCGACUUGGAAAAGAGGGGCGAAAAGGAGGCUUAAGGACAUAAUUUGGCCUUGGUGGAAGAGGAGAGGGUCAGCCAGAAGCAGGUCCAGAGUCAGGGGGACCUCUGACCCAAGAGUUCGGUCAAUGCAUAUGUUGGCAGCCAGCUGCACAUCGCACCAAAUAUGAACUUCAAAUAGAAGAAAGCCUCAUUUGGAAGAAAGCUCAUGCACAGACUGUAAAUAUUUCAGAGCAGAUUGUGUCUCUGUAGAUUAAGUAAGUUGUGAAAGUCUGAACCUCUGCCAAAAUUUUAAGACCUUGACCUUUACAUCUCUGAGUUUCUAUCUGUCAUUUUUCCUUUCUAUCUGUCAUUUUACCUUUCAUACUUAUAAAAUGGAAUUCAUAAUCUUCUCAGCC